rnacentral:lncRNA from 1 species
CCACUAUUACGACUGAUAAUCUAGAAGGUCUAUACGCAAUCCAAGAGCUGAGCAUCCGAACCUAUGAUAUGAUACAUCAUACCACAAGAAAAGAGUAUGCAAUCAGUACUUUGAAUGUACUGGUAUACUAAAUGAGGUAGACUAACAUGCAUGGUUUUAUAUGAAUAAGUAAUAACUGACUGAAGAAAUAGCAUAAGGUACUAAAUAAAAUACAUGAAAUCUGUAAAUACUGAGAAUGCAUGAAAUUUGUAGAUACUGAUGGAUGCAUGACCAAGCAUAAAAUAUAUUUUAAAGAUAAGAUGUAAACAGAAAUACUGAAAUACUAAAAUCUGAUAACUGAAUAUUUGAUGUUUGUAUGCUAUGGUCAAGCAAACUGAAAUUGAAUUACUGAACUAUUUAUUGCACUGAGAUUGUGGGAGCUAUCAUCUAACCGACAUGCCCCAAUUAGAAAAUUUUGAGUCCAACCUGUGACCCUAGUUAGAAGGGUGUCAGUAACGUGCCACGGGUACUAACACUGGCUGUGUGGAUCGACUAAUAUAAUGUCCCAUAGGACUAAGAAUGUCAAGCCUAAACUGAUGGGUGACCACUGGGAGGUAGUCAAGCCUAAACUGACGGGUGACUCCUCAUAUCCUACACUACCUACAUAGAUAUGUAGUAUAGGGACUGCCACUAAUGGAUCUGCCUGUCUGACGGGGAAGCUGCCAUCCCUGCACUCGCUCAGUGCUAAAUCCUACUCCUAACUGAACUGACUCAAAAUACUAAAUUAUUCUAAGUUUAAUAGAUUAUGAUGAUUGAAUGAACUGAUAAUGUUUAUAACAUAUUCUGAAACUAUUCUAAAGAUAUUGAGACUAUGUAAAUAACUAAGUUUUUGGGUAUUCAUAACCCCUAGGACUCGAUAGCAAUAGUAAUAAAAUAGUACUAAACUUGGAGGACAUAAUAUGAAAACAUUUAUCAAAAAUUCAUUCUUGUAGGCAUUUCAUCAAACACUUGAUAUUCAUAGUUCAAACUAAGCAUGGGAAUAGUAUAAAGCUUGUAUAAAUAGCAUGAUUUCAACAUCAACAUCACUAAACAUAAUUUAAAUCUGCGAAUAACAUUGUUCAAACAUGUGGGGUUCAAUAUCAACAAUAAUUGCAUGUAAACAUGAUGUAGAAUUACAAUUCAUGGGAAUUCACGGUUAAAAUCACAAUUAAAAUCAUGAAAACUUGUAAAGAUCCCAACUUCGAAUUUAGAAUUGGAUAUUUUGACUCCAUAGGUGAAAGGAACCCAUAGACGAACACUGAGAAUACCCGGGUUGAUGAAUACGUAAGAGUUCUUGGGUUUUUUUUUUAGAUUUGAUCUUGAAUAUUGAAGGUUGGGGUUUUGUUCUUGAAAAUAAUUAAUUUAUUGAAGAGGAUUUUUGAGUAAUAGGGCCCAUAAUGCCUCUUUAGGGUUUUAAUUACGUGUUUUGGUCGGAUUUGGGGCUUUGGAAAAUGACCAAAAAAUCCUUGGACUUUAAAUCACAAAAACUGGAAAUCCUAAUUUUAACACCCGGCAUGGCAUUGUGCAAUCACAUCGGCCCACUGAAAAAGGUACCAUCCCGAAUUUACCCAGUGGCGAAACGUGGUGAAAUCGCAUUGAGCCACUAGAAAAGGACAAUUCCAAACUGGAACCUAGGCACAACGUGGUGCCAAUGAGGUGUCUCACUAAACGUGAAAAUGCCCCUUAUAGUGAUGCAACAUUAUCGCGGUGGUCCACUGGAAAGAGCACGAACGUGAUUUUGUCCGCCACCGCGAUGCGGCCUUAUCGCGUUGGGCUACUGUUUUCACUAAAAGUGCCAUAACUUCUCACCAGAGUAUCAUAUUUGGAAAAACUUGAUAUCAUUGGAAAGAUAAUUCAAUUUACUAUCAUUUGGUGGGUCUUGAGCUGGAAAAUUCUUAGUAGAUAAAGAGAUAUGCUCGUUUGAAGUUGAUUAAAGAAAUAUUUUUCUCGAUAAAUCAAUCGGUAAGGAAUAUUUUGAUUCGUCUAAUAGCUAGGAGUUAUUUUGAGGCCUUAAUGUACAUAAAACUGACUUAUAAAACUAUCAAAGAACUAUGAUGUACUAUGCAUGAGCUUGAAACAUAGGGCUAACAUUGGGUUGGAUUGUUGGCGCAUUACAAUAUUUCCCCCUUGAGAACAUUCGUCCUCGAAUGAGAUUGGUUAAACAGAAAGCACUGAGGACCUUUGAUUACAUGCUGAAUAUACAGGAUAAGAAAGUGAUUACUUGACUGAGUCUAAAACAUGAUUCAUCACUGAACUAGUUCUAUGAAUGCACGACUGUCAUGAGAAUUAUAUGUAGCUGGAACUAUGCAUGGAAAGGAAAAAUUCUAAGAAGAUUGUUUCCUUAAGAUGACUCUGAGUUCACGGAGAAAAGAUAAGGGUAUUUGGUACGCAUAUUUGCUUCUGCUUCCCAAGUGGCUCCCUCAACGGAAUAAUUUUUCCAAAGAACUUUGACUAAGGGAACUUCUUUGUUCCUUAGUCUACGAAUUUGUCGAUCAAGGAUCUCGACUGGAAUUUCUUCGUAAGAAAAGUUGUUCAGAACAUCUUUGCUUUCUAAGAGAAUGACUAUUACUGGGUCUCCAAUGCACUUCUUCAACAAAGAGAUGUGGACUACUGGAUAUACUGAUGCUAAGUUUGCAGGUAACUCAAGCUUAUAAGUCACCUUUUCAAAAUGACUCAAAAUCCUGUAAAGGCCAACAAAUCGGGGACUAAGCUUCCCAUUCUUUUGAAAACUCUACUUUCUGAUCUCUGACUGACUCCUUCAACUUCACCAAACUAGGAUCCCUAUCUUUCUUUUGUUUUACUCCGGCAACCAAAUAAUAUUCUAAACUCUUCUGAAGCCAAACACUACCCUUAACUAAAUCAACCAAAUGAACACCUAACAUGGCAAGAUGUGAACUUCCUUAACUAACUUUUUUUUGUUAUCUCCAACAUGAGAACCACUACCUAUAUAAUAUAUACUUAGGGCAUCUGCCACUACAUUGUCCUUUCCUGGUAAUACAAAACACUCAUAUCAUAAUCUUUCAACAAUUCUAACCAUCUACUUUGGCGCAGAUUCAAAUACUUCUUUGAAAAUACAUACUGCAAUCUUUUGUCAUCUGUGAAUACAUCUAGUGCCUCCAAAUCUUUAAGGCGAACACAACAGCUGCUAACUCAAGGUCAUGGGUAGGGUAAUUUUGUUCAUGGGGCUUAAGUUGUAUAGAGGUAAGCCAUAACUUUACCCUUCUGCAUCAAAACACACCCUAACCAAACUCUAGAAGCAUCACAGUACACAACAAACCCGUUUAAACCAUCUGGUAAUCAAAACUAGGGUUGUGGUGAGUCGAGUCUUCAACUCCUGGAAACUCUUCUCACAAGAGUCUGACCACUGAAACUUAACUUUCUUCUGAGUCAAUCUGGACAUGGGGAUAUAAUUGAUGAAAACCCUUCAACAAACCAACGAUAAUAGUCAUCCAAACCCAAGAAACUCCAGAUAUUUGAUGGAGAAAUAGGUCUUGUCAAGUUUCUCACUGCUUUGAUAUUUUAAGGAUCUAAUCUAAUUCCAUCACAGAAAACAAUAUGGACAAGAAAAGCUACUGAUAUUAUCCAAAAUUCGCACUUACUAAAUUUAGCGAACAACUGAUGGUUUUCAAGAGUUUGCAAUACUAUUAUGAGGUGGUCUGCAUGAUCAUUUUUGUUACGGGAAUAGACAAGGAUGUCAUCAAUGAAGACUAUGACGAACAUGUCCAAGUACUACUGGAACACUUAGUUUAUCAAGUCCAUGAAGGCUGCAGGGCAUUUGUGAGACCAAAGGGAAUGACUAGAAACUCAAAAUAACCAUACUGAGUUCUGAAAGCUUCUUCUAGAAUGUCACAUUCUCUAAAUCUAAGCUGAUGAUAGUGGAAUCUGAGGUCUAUUUUAGAAAAGUAACUGGUACCCUAAAGUUGGUCGAACAAGUCAUCGAUUCUGGGAAGUGGGUAUUUAUUUUUGACUGUGACUUUGUUUAACUGAUGGUAGUCAAUACACAUUCUAAGAGAACCUUUUUUCUUAUGCACGAAGAAGACUGGUGCAUCCCACGGGGAGAUGCUGGCCUGAUGAAUCAUUUAUCUAGGAGAAAUUUCACCUAUUCUUUCAACUCUUUGAGUUUGGCUGGAGCCAUUCUGUAUAGCGGAAUAAAUAUAGGAUGGGUAUCUGGAAGAAGGUCUAUUCCAAAGUCGAUUUUCCUUUCGGGAAAAACUCUGGGAAGAUCUUUGGGGAACACAUCUGGAAAUUCCCUCACCACUGAAACUUAAUCAAGAGUUGGAGCCUCAGAAUUUGAGUCUUUCACUCAAACAAGAUGAUAAAUACACCCCUUAGAUAUCAUUUUCCUCGCUUUAAGGUACGAAAAAAAUUGAUCCCUAAGAGUUGUACUACUACCCCUCCAUUCAAGGACUGGUUCAUUUGGAAAUUGAAAAUAAACUACUCUAUUUUUCCAAUCAACUAAAGCAUAGCAUGAGUAGAGACAAUCCAUGCCGAGAAUGAUGUCAAAAUCCAUCAUCUCUAAUUCCACAAGAUCAACUGAAGUAACUUUCUAAUACAUUAUAAUUGAUUAGUUCCUGUACAUCCACUGGACUACAAUAGAGACACCCACUGGGGUAGACACUGAAAAAGGCUCUUCUAAGAUUUUGGAACUGACUCUGAAGUAGAUGACUAUAUAAGGAGUUACAAAAGAAAGAGAAUCUCUAGGGUCUAAUAAAGCAUAAACAUGUAAAUGAAAGACUUGCAACGUACCAGUGACCAAAUCAAGAGAAUUUUCCUAAUCCUGUCGGGACUGAAGGGCAUAUAAUUUAUUUGGACACUGACCAUUGGAAGCAGCACCCUACUGAGCUGAGCAGUCGACUCGAACUAAUGAUUGAUGGGACUAGCCUUGUUGGUGUAAAUCCCUACCUUUAUUAGAAACUACUUAACACUCCAAAAUCCAAAGGCCUAGCUUGCCAUACCCAAAGCUAUAAUGCCCCAAAAAUGGUUCCGAGACGUCACACGGUGCUUAGGACCACAAGUGAUCCCAAGCUAACCCUUCUACUGGCAUAACUUAUAAGCAACUGAAUAAAAUACAUAAAUCUAAAUGAAAUAAUAAGAAGAUGACUCUUUUCUGAAUCUAAUCAAUACAGAACUAAAUUAAAAUAAUUAUAACUCUGCUUUUACAAAACAACACUGGAAUCAAUACAUUAACUCUACUGACUGUCUAUGAAGCCUCUACUAGUAUUGACUAUAGGUAGCCGGGGUAUGACCCCCAACUAUCCCAAAUUAAUACGACUGAAUAAAGAAAAAUACAAUACUGCUCAAACUAUAUGACUGACUCGAGCCCUUGAAUCAAGAGGACUCAUCACCUGCUGACUGGAAACUUCAAACUGUCUGAAUAUGGUAUGCAUACUACAACUGAACUAAUACCUACAUUAUGAGACAAUGUAGCACAUAGACAUAUAUGUGGAUCACCACUUUGAGAAUGUACUGAGUAUAUGGGGGUGAAUGCAUAUGUAAAACAUCAUCUCAUCAUCAUAAUUUAUAAAACAAUGCAUGCUAAAUGUAAAUGACUCACAUAAGCUAGAAUAUCUGAAAUACAGAAAUAAUAAGAAGCAAAUCAUACUUUAUAAAUCUAUUGAGUCAUAACAUUUAGUUGUGAAAGCUGUGAUUGUAUUCUCUCUUUAAAUCAUACUGUCUAAGUGUUGAAAGGAAUCACUCUAAAUUCUAAAAUCUGAAAGCUGAAUUCUGUAGCUAAUAUCUUUCUGUAAAGCAUAAUUUGAGUAAACUUUAUGAUCCUUUACACUUAGUUUUCUAAAAGUUUUUUGUUAUUCUUUUCUGAGAAAAUAUUCUGAAAAUCUUUACUGAUAGGGACUUAGGAACUUUGUGAGGUAAUUCUAACCGAUAUAAACCAUGUGACCAUUCAUGGAGUCCAACAUCUUACCUACGUUGGGGAGAGAUAUUCUACCCUUGCCAUCAGAAUAGAACUUCUUAUCUUAAGUGAUCACAAUCUUAGUCGUCCACAUAUAAGUGGGAAUAAUCUUAAUCCUAUGGUGGUACGUAGUUCUGGGGUAUGAAACCUUGGUAACAUACCCAUCUCGGUGCUAAAUACUACUCCCAUUCUUAUGCUCAGGAUCUUAAGAAAUUCACUUCAAAAAAUAGCACAAGGGUUUAAAGAAAAAACCAAUUAUGCGCUUUCUUUUCUUUGAAUCUCAAGUGAUAUGAACAAUGUGGAUUUAUCUUAGCUUAGGACCAAAAGGUCAAAUAUUUAUCAAAAAUCUUAGAAUAAUCUUAUCAUAGGGUGCACGUAGCACAAACAACCUUGAAAUAACAAUCUUUAAUUAGGGCUUAAUGACCCAUGCUUCAAACUCACGUUAAAAUAUCAUAAUGUUCAUGAUCAAUAUGCUUAUUGAAUAUACUUCAACAAUAUCAAAAUAAUAAAAUCAAGAAUCUCAAUAUCAUGCUUAAACUCAAUUGGAAAAAUCUGGAAAAUCGCAUUAUACACAUAAUUAUAUGAAAAUAGUCAUGCAAUUCAACAUUCAAUCACUUGAAAUCUCAUAAGCUUGUAAUAAAAAUAAUGCGUAUAAACCCUAACUUGAAUUUCAUGAGAAAUCAUAUAAAAUUCAGUAAAAUUAGAAUUAAAAUAAGUUUUGUGCACAAGGACAAAAGGAUUGUCCUUGUUCAUAACCCCACAUACCUUGAUUGAAUAUUAGAUAAAAAAACUUGAUCUAUUGAUUCGUAUUUGAGUUCUUGGAGAUGAUUUCUUAAUUAUAUUGCCCUAGGAACCCACAAUUUGGAGCUUUCUUGGAGAAUCUAUGGAGGAUUUUUUUUGAUUUCUUGGAGAAGAAGCUUUGGGGCUUUAGGGUUUUGCUUUGAGAGAGAAUGGAUGAAAUUGGACAUAAAGUGCUUAGAAUAUGCUUAAAUUUUAUGUUUGGACAGAUUGAGGACUUGGGAAUUGACCAAAAUACCCUCUUUAAACUUCUAAAUGAAACUGGAAAAUGUAGCAUUUUUCCGAUUUAAUAAGCCACCAUGACGCGCCACUAUCGCAGUGGCUUACUGGAAAGUGGAUGAGUGGGAACUGGGUAGACUCUGUGAUGCACAACAAUCAUGGUGCGCCUUUAGAAUUCCAUUGUGGCCACUGGCGGGAUGCAUCAGUAUCAUGUUAGACUACUGAAUUUUGACAAUUGGGAAUUUGGACCUCUCCGCGAUGCUCUAAUAUCGCGAAGGUCCACUGGAAUUGACAAUUUUGAAAUUGUCCUUCACUGCGAUGCGGUGGUUGCUCAGGUGGGACACUAUCAACUUAAAAAUGCUCUAAAUCUUCAACUAAGUAUCGAAUUUGGGUUAAUUUGGUAUCGAUGGAAAGCUUAUUCAAUUUCCCACACAAUAGAAAUUCUAAAUCUGGAAAAUACCCCCAUAAAAUAAAAGGUAUUCAUCUUUUAAGUAAAUCUUUGACAUUCUAGGGAUGAUUUUAAACUAGGAAAAGUGUGGGGUGUUACAAAAGCAUACAUAACUGUCAUCUCUACACUCACCCUAAUGGUUUCUACCACAUUUCUGGCAAAGAGGAUUUGUACAACUACUAUUAACACUGCCUUGGGACUAGAGCCUGGCGCCCUAUCCCAAUUAUCAUUUCUAAAUUUUGGUAGUAGGGCACUGGCUGAAGAUGGAGCUAGGACUGAAGAUUUCUGAUGGAAUUGAGGAUGAUUACCACCCUAUGAUUUUGGAUGAGUGAAAUUAAUGCUUCCCAUUCUAGCCCUCUUGUUCUCUCUCUCUCCUUAGUUUUCUGCUCCUCAAUCUAUUGAGCAUGGACCGUAAACCUAGACAGGUCCAUCUCCUUUAUCAACAUUGUAGUCCUAUACUCCUUGACCACACUAUCAGAUACCCUAUAUAUGAACUUGCUCAUCUUAGACCUGCUAUCAGCUACUACAUAAGGAUUAUACCUAGCUAACUGAGUAAACUUAAAGGAAUACUCUUUCACACUCAUGUUGCCCUUCCUCAAGUUGAUAACCUCUAACACUUUGGAUUCUCUCAACUCCAACGGAAAGAACCUAUCUAAGAAGAUAGGAGGUUCUUAUCUAAGAAGAUAACAACAAACUCUUUCCAUUCUAUAGGCCCUGCAUCUGUGCCUCUAUCUACCUUUCACUACUUAAACCAUAUAUGGCUAUAUAUUGCAACUGAUAAGUAGCUAAAUCAUCACUCUCACUAAUAGUUACCCCCAUAAUGUCUACUACCUUCGGCACUAUGUUAAGAAAUUCCUUUGGUUUCUCUUCAGAAUUAGACCCUGAAAAUGAAGGAGGGUUCACUCGAGUGAAGUCCCAAAUUCUAGCUGCAGUAGUAUUGGCCACUAGGUUAGACUGAACAACAGAUGGUCGAACAUUUUGAGCAUCCAUAGAAUGGGCUAGGGUGGUGAAUGUUUCUUUGAAUUCUGCAUGAGAAAUGUUCUCAUUCAGGGGAUAUUCCUGAACUGGCGGAGGUGCUGGCUGGUUCCUAGUUCUUCUUUCGUUAGUCUUUUUGGGAGGCAUAUUCUAUAAAUAAAAGGGAAAGUUGGAUUAUAUAGAGGGUUUAACUUGAGCUCAUGCUCACUCUCACGAUAUGAACACUGAAAGAAGGGAACUUUUCCUAAAACACCUCAUAGACUCUUGCCAAUAAGUGUGGUGCGCCUCACACCCAUGCAUAAAACUCUACUAGAUGUGGAUUUUAGAUUUCCUAGGACACUUUAAAACCUUAGGCUCUGAUACCAAGUUUGUAACACCUUGAGAGUACACCUUGGGCAUCACACGAUGCUUACAGUCCUGAGGAACCACAAGCUAACCUAUCAGUUGGUACCUACUGUGAGCACUAAAUAGUAUAAUAACAUAUGCGAAAGAACAACUGAUAAGCCAUAAGGUUGUAAAUUCUAAAACAUUUCCGCAUUAUAAAUUUGGAAACAACUACCUAAAAACAACUAUCUAAAACUGAUAAAAUAAAGAUAAACAUACUAACUAUCUUAAGUGUCCAAAAGCCUCUAAACUAACUUAAUAAGAGUUGAUGGAAUUAGCCCCAACUAACUCCAUCUAACUACUGAACUGAAAACAUGAAAAUAAAUAUAGUCUAUCCUCAAAAUAUGAGGACUCACCACUGCUACGGCUGAUAAUCUAAAAGGUCUAUGCGCGAUUCAGGAACUGAACGUCUGAACCUAUGAUAUGAUUCUUCACAACACAAGAAAAGAGUAUGCAAUCAGUACUUUGAAUGUACGAGUAUGCUAAAUGAGGUAGGCUGACAUGGAUGGAUUCAUGUGCAUAAGUAGUAACUGACUGAAGGAAUAAUAUGAGAUACUGAAUAGAAUGCAUGGAAUCUAUAAUUACUUAGAAUGCAUGAAAUUUAUAGAUACUGGUGGAUGCAUGACCAAGCAUAAAACAUGUUCUGAAUAUAAGAUGUAAAUUGAAAUACUAAAAUUUGAUAACUAAAUAUCUAAUAUCUAUAUGCUAUAGUCAAGAAAACUAAAGCUGAAUUACUAAACUGAUUACUGUACUGAGACUGUGGGAGCUAUCAUCUAACCGACAUGCCCCAAUGAUCAAAUUUGAGGUCCACCUGAUGAACCUAGUUAGAAAGAUGUCAGUACCAUGCCACGGGUACUAACAUUGGCGGUUUGGAUCCACUAAGAUGUUAUCUCGUACGAAUAAGGGUGUCUAGCCUAAACAGAAGGGUGACCCCUGCGAGGUAGUAAAGUCUAAACUGACGGAUGACUUCUCAUAUCCUAUACUGGCUACAUAGUUCUGGAGUACAAGGACUGCUACUAACAACUCUGCCUGUAUGAUGGGGAGGCUUCCAUCCCUGCACUCGCUUGGUGUUAAAUUCUACUCCCAACUGAACUGACUUAGAAUACUGAACUAUUCUAAGUUUAACUGAUUAUGAUGAUUGACUGAACUGAUAAUGCUCUUAACAUAUUUUGAAGAUACUGAGACUAAGUAAACAACUAAGUUUUCGGGUAUUUAUAACCCCCAGGACUUGAUAGCAAUAGUAGUAAAAUAGUACUAAACUUGGAGGACAUAAUAUAAAAAUAUUUAUCAAAAAUUCAUUCUUGUUGGCAUUUCAUCAAACACUUGAUAUUCAUAGUUCAAACUAAGCAUGGGAAUAGUAUAAAGCUUGUAGAAAUAGCAUGAUUUCAACAUCAACAUCACUAAGUAUGCUUUAAAUGAGUUAAUUGCAUUGUUCAAACAUGUGGGGUUCAAUAUCAACAACAAUUGCAUGUAAACAUGGUGUAGAAUUACAAUUCAUGGUUAAAAUCACAAUUAAAAUCAUUAACCAUGAAUACUUGUAAAGAUCCCAACUUUGAAUUUAGAAUUAGAUAUUUGGACUCCAUGGGUGAAAGGAACUCAUAGGUAAACAAUUAACAUACCUGGGUUGAUGAAUACGUGAGAGUUCUUGGGGUUUUUUCUUGAGUUUUGAUUUUGAGUCAGGAAGGCUAGGCUUUUGUUCUUGAAAAAUAAUUAAUUUAUUGAAGAGAAUUUUUGAGUAAUGCCCCUUUAGGGUGUUAAUUACCUUUUUAGGUAAGAUUUGGGGCUUUGCAAAAUGACCAAACGGUCCCUUGAAUUUAAAUCGCAAAAAUUGUAAAUUUGGAUUUUAACACCCAGUACGACGCGGUGUUUUAAAUUAUUGUUCACUCUCUAUUCGAAUUGAAGCUUGAAUUAUUGUUAACUUAUCAAUUUCUUCGAGAAACUGUUAUGUUUUGGAUGUUUUACCAUGAUUUUACUUAUCAAUUUUCAUGAUGUUUUUACUAUUGUAGUUGAAAUACUUGCAGGUUAUUCUAUCAGAGGAUUUUGUUUAUUCUAGAUUUUGUCUAUCUUUGUACAUUUCGUAGUAGGAAAAUAAGAAAUUAGAGUUGCAAUCCCUCCGAUCACUCUAGUCUUGGCGGUUUCAUGACUUUCAUCAAGUCAUUCUGCUAUCAUUCUAGUUGUUAAUCUAGUGACUGCUUGAUGUUCAACUGUGUAACUGGGACUGCAGCUAAUUAAUGUCCUAAAUUCAAAGAAAGGGAACAACAUAACUGAUACUCUGUACUUGAUGGAGUCCUUUGGUACUGGAGCUUCUAAAAGCUAACCAUGUUUGCUGCCAUUCUUGUAACCCCUCAUUGUGUUGAUUUACUUUAUAUGGAUAUUUAUUUACUUUGAUAUACUCUUGUUGAAUAGGUAUUUUGUACGAAUUAUUUAGAAUAGACUAAAACUAAUAAAAACUAAUGGUAUCCACACUGAACACUGAUACACAACCAUAUUGAAGGCGUACUAAUUGCAGAUCCCAUAUAAUAUAGUUAACACAUCAAGCAAAAGUUAGGAGGGAAGCUAAGGAACUGAAGAGGAGAUUACUUUGCCUAAUUUUAGCUUCCAUUUGCCAAAUAAGAUCCUGAGAAAGACCUCUUGAAUAGUAUAGAGUCAAUCUUGGUUUUCCUUAUCAUAAUCCGUUGCUAGAAUAUGAGAAAAGAAAAUUCAUAGUCAAUAUACUUCAUGCAAAGCUGGUUUCUGCUUAAGUUGAUAAAGUAUAAAUAUUCAAAUAUCGGCAAAAAAUGGCUUUCCAAAUAUGAUACAACUCAUAAACUGUACAAUCAUAAUAGUAAUAUGAACCUAGAAACUCUUGUGUAAUUUAAGCUUGUGAAAAUCGAACAAUCUUAGAGAAUGUAAUUUAAUUUACUAGGGUUCUAACAGCGAGACAGUAAUUUCAUUUGUUGAACACAUGCUUGUAGAGUAUUCGGAUGUAUUUUUGUUGUGCAUGUAUUCAUAGACCAGCAUUUUUUCUCCUCCUGCAAUAAUACAACCUAUAAGCUUCACAAGAUUUCGAUGCUAAAGUUUGGCAAUGCAAAUAACUUCAUUCUUGAACUUGUUAACUCCUUGCGAGGAAGACUUGGAGAGCCUCUUUAUAGCUAUUUCUUGUCCUCCUUCUAGGAUUCCCCAUAAUAUCAACAUAUAUCUGGCUUAGUGGUUGCCACAACUAUGAGGUAGAGAUAUGGUUUGUGUGUCCCUCUAACCUCCCCAGACCUAACUUUGUGGGUCUACAUUGGGUAUGUUGUUGUUAUAGCUGGUUUAGUGAUUCAAAAGUGUCAUCUGCUUACUAUCAAUUAUAGUAAAUAUUAUUUCCUUGAAGAAUGAUUCAUAAACUUACAAUGCUACUUUAAAAACAGAUCCAAAUCCACUUUCUCCAAUCUUGUUUUCGAUUGAGAAAUUAGAGGUUGCUUUUUUUAGAGUUGAUAAGGCAAACAGUAGGAGGUCUAGGUCAUCUUUUAAAUUCAUCUUCCUCUUCUUCUUUUUUCAGAAUAUACAUCCCUAUGACCAGGCCAAUCACAAUCACUCCAAUCAAUAGUGAGAGACUAAACACAACUAGUUUUUUUUUCUUCGAGCCAAAAAGAAAACAAAACAUGGGGGAUAAAAUAAACUAAAUAUACAUGGAAGAGAGAAACAUAUACUGUGUGAACUUUUAACAAAUAUCUUAGUAAACGAAACUAAAUUUGAGAAUUACGAAGUUCAAACAUUCAGCUAAUACUCCAUAUUUGAUCAAAUUAAUAAAUGUUACCUAACUCUGAGUUAGCCAUCCUUAUGUGAAUGGCCUGUCCUCCAGGUAAUUAUCGAAUGUCAAUUAAAUCGCCAUACGAAAGUAAACAUCCAUUUCUAGCAUUGCGUAUAUCAAGAUUUGAUAAGACACACAUGAGCAAUUCCUCAAGAAAGCUUUCUUUCACUCGUGGAGUAUCAUACUCACAUCAAACCAUGAAUACUGUGUAUCUGGUAGAUUUAUACCGGAGUACUUGACAAACCCAUCUCCCUUCUGGGCACUGAUAUGUUUGGUUAGCUUAUCCAUACAUAAUAAGGGUAGCAAUGGGAGUUUAAAGAGAAUGUUUGUAUAUAAUAUUGGUUUUAGAAAUGUGGGUUUUAGGAUAUUGGAGUUUAAUAUAACAUGUUAGUUUUAUAAUAAUGGUAUGUAGUGGUUUCCCUCAACCACUACAUACCACUAACCAUUACCUUCUGUUUUUUACUUUGGUGUCAUUAUUUCUGCAUUGACACUAUUAAUUUUAUCUUUUAAUUUGUUCCUUGCCUUUAAUAAUUACUUUCCUGAGGUUAGUACGUAAUUGAUUGAAUGAUACAAGCUUUGCUUGGAACUAAUUACUUUUUUGAUGUUUAGUUUAGCCACUUAGAAAAUGUUUUAUGUGUCGAAAUAAAAAAACUAUAAAACAUAACCAAAAAAAAUGUGCAAAUUGUUUACUAAAUCAAUUCUCCCUCUUCGGGUCAUCUCUCAAAACCACUUUAUACAGCUUGAUAGCAUGAUUAGCUUUCAAGGAAAAUAAAAAUGCCAUGCUAGCUACUACACUACAUGGGGGACACUUGGGACAUAUUGAAGGGAUAAUGGCGAAAAGCCUCUGGUAAUAUACGUUCCUCUCAUCACAUAAAUGGUUUUUGGUCACGCUAUUCUGAGUAUCGCUUGUAUCCCUUCACGCCUUGUAUUAAAUUGUCUAGUGACUAAUUUAGUAGUAGUAUGAUAUCCAUGAAGAGAAAAAGUUAUCAGUUUCUUCUUUUGUGCAGGUGGGUUAGGGCUAUUGAUGAAUACCUUUGUGCUUUGAACUCCAACUCAUUGAUCCAUAGAGAAAAGGUAUUAAAAUUUGCACACUCACUCACCUUUAAAUUGCUCAUGAAUUUAAAGAUGAUCUUACCUAGAGAAUUUGAUGCUAUGGUGUCAAAAUUCAAGAGAAUUUAUGUGUUUUGUGGGAGUAGUCAAGGGAAGAAAAAUAGUUAUCAAGAUCCUGCUAUUGAGCUAGGCAAAGAAUUGAUCUCAAGAAACAUUGAUUUGGUCUAUCGAGAAGGUAGAAUAGGCCUAAUGGGUUUGGUUUCACAAGCAGUUCAUGAUGGUGGUAGGCAUGUUAUUGGAGUUAUUCCCAAGACACUUAUGCCUAGAGAGUUAACUGGUGAAACGGUAGGAGAAGUGAUGACAGUUGCAGAUAUGCAUCCAAGAAAAGCAGAAAUGGCUAGGCACUCUGAUGCUUUUAUUACUUUACCGGGUUGGUAUAAGAACUCACUGCUAGUCCAAUUUUCACUCUUUUGCACUCAAAUUCCCAAAGGCUAAUAGAAAAAGGACAUCAGGUGCUUUUAGUUUGCUAUUUCAUGCAUAGAUUCACUAUAUCUCUUGUCUAUUUUUUUUCUGUGAGUUCAAAUAGUCUUUGUAGCUUAGUAGUCUAUUUUUAUUCGUAAACUAGAAGUAUAUAGAAUGUGUCAAAGUGUCUCUUAAUCUUGUUAUCUUGAGCAUUACCACAUGAAAAGUUAGAAUUACGAAGUUGUCAAAAGAAGGAAAGUGAUGUCUUUUUCCAUUUGGCUUCAUCAAGUGUAGUUUGGCAUUUACUUGAAAUUAUAUAGUCAGAAUUCUAAUAGAAAAUAAAAUUUUCAUUGCAUUUAGGUGGUUAUGGCACACUUGAGGAGCUACUUGAAGUAAUUACGUGGGCACAACUUGGCACCACAAUAAGACGGUAGGAUUGCUGAAUGCAAAUGGAUAUUACAAUUCAUUAUUGUCAUUUAUUGACAAAGCUGUGGAGGAAGGCUUCAUCAAUCUCAAUGCUCGCCAAGUCAUCGUAUCUUCGCCAACAACAACAGAGCUUGUUCAGAAACUGGAGGAAUAUGUUUCUUGCCAUUAAAGAGUUGCUUCGAAGUUGAAUUGGGAGACAGAGCAACAUCUUAGCUACCCUCAAGCACGUUGUUUCUCUCCUUCAGCUUACUUUGAAGCUAAAGAGUAGGCGUAUUAACCUCCAUUUGUAAAAGUUUUGUAACUUUUUACAUGAAUUUUGAUAUCUGCAUCACAACAAUGAAAGAAUUGUUGCCUUUUUUUGUACUAAAUUUGAAUUUGAAGAUUUCCAAGAAUUAAGUUUUUUGAGUGUCUGAUGAUUUGUAAAUACAGAUAUUAGCGAAAAUAAAUUAGUGACUAAAUUUAGUCGUAGCUACUGAAAAACUUUAGCGAUGGACAGAUAUGGUUUCUAAAUAUGGCUACUUUGGUUGCUAAAUAUAGCUAAUCAAGCGAUCAAAUUAUGUUGCAAUAAAUCAACGACAAAAUAUACUGUCGUAAAUUUAGCCACUCCGAAAAUAAAUUUUGAAAAUAGCAACGCUAUAGCAACGGAUAAAUACGUCGGUAAUAUCAACAACCAAAAUAUAUCGUCACUAAGGGGUCACAAAUUUUGCGAUGAAAAUCAUUUUUUCGUUGCUAUGAGACUAGCAAUGAGCAAUAUAGCAACCGAAGAAUUUACGUUGCUAUUCCGUCGCUAUUUCUAUUUAGCAAUGGAUUUUCAUAUGAUAGCAAUGAAAACGGCGCAUCGGUAAACACAGUUUUUUAAGUAGUGAUUAAGCAACUGGAAAAGGACAAUUUUGAACUGCAACCUUAGCAUGAUGUGGUACCAUCGCGGUGCCUCACUAAACGUGAAAAUGCACCUUGGUGUGACGCAACAUUAUCACGGUGGUCCACUAGAAAAAGGACAAGCGUGAUUUUGGCUAUCACUGCGACACAGACUUAUCGCGUUGGACUACUAUUUUUCACUACAAGUGCCAUAACUUCUCACCCGACUAUCGGAUUUGGCCCAAAUUGAAAGAAAACUUAGGUACAGAAGAAGACUACUUGAAUUGAUUUAUUUUUUGGUUGGUUAUAAAUUCAUAAUAUCAUCCCUUAUUUAUACUUGUGUAGGGUGAUUCUAGAUACUACAAAUCUAGACUAUUCCAUACAAACAUCUCCCUCAAAUAUCUAGUACCCUCUAAUAUCUAGAUCUUUCCUAAGUAUAAAUAUCAAAUAGACUACACUAUUCCUUUCUAGAUUCUUCUAACUAGAAUUACCUAAAUAGCUAGAUAUUUCUUCAACAUGAUUAUCUUAGAAAUUACACUACACUAUUCUAGAGAAUUAACUAGAAAUUUAUGAUUCAAAAAAAUCUACUUUAAUAUUUUCACACUCCCCCUUAAAGUGAUUUUUUGGAAGCUACCCUAAACUUGUCACGGAAGAACUCAAGCAAAGCUUUGAACAGUGCCUUAUUGAAAAUCUUGAUUGUUUUUGCAUGACUCUUCUUUCUUCUUCAAAUGAUAAGGAUUUCUUAUUAAUGAUUGGCCCUGCGGAGAGACAAGAAUAUGUAUUGACAAAGUUUUCAUAUCUGUAGUGCGAGGUAGCUUGACAAUAGUCCAUUUUGCCCUUUGAGAGCCAUAUGAAUCAGCACCUUGUUGAGUUUUAUCAUGUUGAGGUCUCGAGCUCCCCCUUUCUCUAAAAUCCUCCACAACUUCAUUUUCUGGUGACCCAAAUAUGAUGGAAAAGUUUGAAGUUCUAGGACUCAAGAUUUUAGAACUUACACUUUCUGAAGCAACUCCAUAACACGAGGAUAUUUUUUUGGUAUCAGUCUCUUCAUUUGAUUUGAUGAUGAUCUGAUCAGCAAUUUCCCAUAAAGCCUCGGUAACAUAAUAGGAUCCACAUCUAGAUUUUAUAUCUAGCUCUUCAAUUAUUUCAACUGAAAUUAUGGCUUUAAUUUUAACGUUUUCAUUUGUUUGAUCUUUAGCUUCUUCAUCAGGUUCCAGUAUUUCCUCUGAGCUAGAGAUUGACCUUGAUACAAUAGAUGAUUGAUCAGAGACUUUAACUUCUACUACAUCUUCCUUAAUGCUUUCUCUGAUAACUUCAUCACCAUCAUAUAGAGUGUCAUACACUGUCUAUUCAAAAUCUACUACAAUAUCCUCCAUAUCCAGACUUUUAUUACCAUUUUCAGGUUUACUUCUUUGAUUUCCUUGAUAGCAGCUACCACAUCUCUAGUUUGAAUGUCUUUAAAAUUUUCUUGCUUCUUAUCAGUGCAUUUCCUCACUGCAUGAUGGAUUGUAUUAUAUUCCAUCAAAUCUCUAUUCAAAUUUAUGGAAGCCAAGGUAUGUAUCGCUCGACAAUCAGCUGCUAAGAAUCUUCCCCAGCUUUCUUCUUUAACAACUUUUUCAAUUAGAGCUAUGUUGCUCUCCGUUGAUCUACAAUAUCUUCUUAUAUGUCCUACUUUGCCACACCGAUAACAUCUAAGAGGCUUUUUCUAACUAUUAAAAGACUCUUUCUUCUUUCCAGGAGAGCUUGAACCACAUGCGAAUUGAGAGUGAGAUUAUCUCUUGCUUUUCCUCUAACGUUUCUCUUGUCACCUACAAGAGAAUUUGCUUCCCUUUCUUUGAAAAAUUCACUAGCCAAUUAUUUAGCUAGUAACUCCUGUGAAAACAUCAAAUUCUCAAAUUCCUCUAGAGAUGGUUGUUGAGCCCAUCCCUGAAUUGAUGUCACAAAGGGAAUAUAAUUUGGUUUCAAACCAUGAAUGAUAGUUCUUCUUAUUCGUGCUUCAGAGAUAGCCUCAUCUAUAUUUAAUAAAGAAAUUUUAGAAGAUAAGUUCUUAAUCUUUAAAAAGUACUCGACAAUAGAAAGAUUACCUUGAGUGGUGUUCGCCAAUUCAUUCUCAAAUAUUUAUAGGCGGGCUUCAUUCUUUUUAUUGAACAACUGGUCGAGGGUCCUCAAAAUUUAAUGAGCUUAUUUACACCUUAUAAUAUGGUCAAAUAAAAUAGAAGAGAUGGACCUCUUCAGAAUGAACUCCGCCUUAGCAUUAAUUUGCUUCCAUUUCUUGUAUGCAUUACUAUUCUCCGGUCCAUCUUUCGGAGGACUUGUGUUACUCUAGAUAACAACAUCCCACAAAUCCUCACCCACAAGGUAUGACUCCAUACAUGUCUUCCAUACCAUUUAAUUGGACUGAUUCAACAAUUCCAUUCCCAGUCCAUUAAUGUGACUGCUUAAAUCCAUUCGUACAAACCAGUUGAAUCGACCACGCAAACUCGAUCUUGAAAUAAACACAAGCCAAUUACGACUUUGGCUCUGAUAACAUGUAGAGAAUAGUAGAAGAAAGGUGGAAUUGCGGAGACCUUCUGCUAGCCUAAGAUCGUUAACUAAGAUCAGGAGAUUCAACUAAGAAGAGGAAGCUAGAAAUGUGAAGGAAGAUAUUGAAAGAAAACUUGGGUAUAGAAGAAGACUACUUGAAUUGAUUUGUUUUUUAGUUGGUGACAAAUUCCUAAUAUCAUCCUUUAUUUAUAUUUGUAUAGGAAUGAUUCUAGAUACUAGAAAUCUAGAGCAUUCUAUACAAAUAUCUCCUUCAAAUAUCUAGCACCCUCUAAUAUCUAGAUUUUUUCUAAAUAUAAAUAUCAAAUAGACUACACUAUUCCUUUCUAGAUUCUUCUACCUAGAAUUACCUGAAUAUCUAGAUAUUUUUUCAACAUGAUUAUCAUAAAACUUACACUAGACUAUUUUAGAGACUUAAUUAGAAAUCUAUGAUUCCAAAAAAUCUAAUUUAAUAUUUUCACAUUACUUGCUAGCGGAGGCCAAGUUGAAGCUAUGUUUGAGGUCUGUUUAUGUAGUAUGUCAUAUGUGUGUGUCUGUGUAUUGUAUGUUUGUUUCUAUCUAUCUAUCUGUGACUACUUUCCUGUUGUGUGCCUGCAUUUUCAGAUAAAGAAACAGCAAAAGAAACAACAAAAGAAUGGAAAAGGGACAGUUAAAGCGGACAGACAGGAUCUCUGGUUAAAUUGUCUUCGAUAAAUCAGAGUGUCUGACAAAAAAAUAGAAGUUCAGGCCAUUAAUGAGAAUGACGCCAAUUGAGAGAAAAAGGAUUUCUUGAAAGGUGGUUGCCCCCUCUUUUGGCCUAUGAUUUCCCCAUAAACAAAAUCAACAACUCUUUUCAGAAGUACUACUGUUGUUUGUUGUUUUCAAUAAUCUUAGACCAAACGUCCCUCUUUGCUUAUGUUUGUGGGGUUUCACUGGGUUGGUUGUUGUUGUGGUUAUUGUUGUUUCUCUGUUGAAAGUUGGUCGAAAUUGUAUAAAUGCGUACCUGUGGUGAAGCUUCCAUUUGUCAAAUGAGGCUGUGAUGAUGAUUCUUAUGGUAGAAUCCUCACCAUAGUUUGGAAUCCUCACCAUAGCUUGGCUCUGAAAGGAAGAAUGAGACAUUAGAGAGAUGGAUUUUCUAUAAAGGGUGGUUUCCCCUACUUUGCCAUGUCUAUGAUUUCAUCUCCAUUCAUAAAAAAACCAACAAUGUUUUUAGAAAAAGAAAAGAUCAAGAAUUAUUUUGACAUUUGGCCAUAGAUUUCCAGAUAUUUUUAU